UUUUUUUAAUUCCAUAAUCUGCAUCAUAAUAAUUAGCAGUAAAAUGUAUUAUGCUUGUUUUUGUUUGUAGAGAUUGUUUUCUAUUUUACUGCUAGUCGUGAGAGGAAAGAAGCCUAGAGAAACAGAACAGAGGAUGAAUGUUUUGGAAAAGGAAUGGUCUGAAUCUCAAAACACCUGUGAAGAAGGAGUGUGAGAUGGCUUGAACUGAGUCUCAGUCAGUCAAUGAGUAAGAAAAUUUGGAAAAAUAAUAUCAGAACUGAGCAGCAUGGUGAAUUAAUAUUGAAAAGCAUUGUGAACUUGGAAAAACAGAGGACUCUCAAGAAGGACAUGUUCUACCAUCAAAGAAAAUAUGGAAUCCACAAGGACCCAACAAGGGAGCAGAGUUUACAGUUGCUUUCUCCUUUUGCAUCUUUCUCUCCUUUAUAUUUUGCAUGUUUCUCCUCACCUUCUUCUUCACAUCAGUGUAGCUGGUUUGGUAGACCAGAGUCUAGGGAUGGCCUUUCAUUAAGGAGGCUGUUUGGGAUGCAUCUGAAGAGAAGGAACAAUGAGGCUCAGGUCAGCUUCAUAACUGGCAUCCUACCAUCAUUUAAGUCAUAGGCUAAAAUGUCCUUGAUACUGUACACAUGGCUCCACUCACUAGCCCACAAUAAGAAAACAAGAUUAAGAUUUGGAUAUAAUGCCCCUAGCUAGUGAUUAAAAAGCAUUAUUUUCCCUUAGUCUCCCCCAUACACAUACCUUUAGGAACCUAUUUAGAAAGAGAAAGCUUACAGUACUUGAUUGAUUGGGAUGUGAUUUUCAUUUCUCACCUGUCUCAUUAAGUUAAAAGGGGGGGGGGAGAGAGAGAAUGAGCAAAGGGAGAGACAGAGACAGAGAAGCAGACUCCCCACGGAGCAAGGAGCUUAAUCCCAGGACCCCGAGAUCAUGACCUGAGCCAAAGACAGAGGCUUAACUGACUGAGCCACCCAGGUGCCCCUAGAUUGCCUUAUAAAUAAUAAAUCUGUUUCUAUUGUCUGUUAAUGUCA
rnacentral:lncRNA from 1 species